AUACAUAUAUGCAUAAGUGUAAAUAGUGGGUGUUGGCGCAUAAGGGUGGGGCGGAUAUGAUCACGCCACCCUACGUCACACACACACCAUGGAACUUUCCAUACUCCUUUUAUUGCCAUCGAUAAGUAAUCGGUAGCACCUACAUUACAGUAUCUAAGUAUUCUGCAUAGUUAAUCUCUCUCUAAUGUAUUUUGGCAUGUAUUACUCUUAGCUAUAAGUAGCUUUUCCUUUGCCUUAUUUAUGUAAUUAGAGAGUAAUAAUUAUGAAUAUAUUCAUGUACUGUGAGUGCGGUCAACCCGCCCCUAUUUCUAAUGUCAGCACUUUUUGAAGGCGCUAAGCGUCCCUUGUGCCGGCUCCGGCAGUCUCUUGCCAGGGUGUAACGCUGUACCACGCAGAGGACAUCCGUUGUCCCGUACGCGCCACACCCUUCUCCAGAACUCUGUACAUAUAUCUAAAUAUACCUAUUUUUAUACGUUCACCUUUGACAUUCACCUGAAAACCACAGAAACUCACCAAGAGUGACUUUACCUAUUAUAUAAAGUGUUGCCACGGUGACGGCGGUGGUGGGCAUGAUACAGAUGCGGGAGGUGGAGUUUGUGCCCGAUGGAGACAUGCAGCUGGACAAAUUCUGUUGCUCAUUGCUCAGACUGGAGUUUACAUGUAUACCUCCUUCACCAUCAUUGGUGGACACUUCACCAUGAGUGAUGCUUGAGCUGUCAUGGUGCUGCUGCUGUUGUCUGCCAUCAUCCACCUGACACAGACCACCCUGCAGACACCUUCAUCCUGGGUGCCACACGUCACUGCUGCUACAACUCAGAGCAACUGGAGCGCAAACCAGGAAGGGAAAUGGUAACUUCUCACUUAAUUUGUUGUUUAUUUGAGGGCCUAAUGACAAAGACAUAAUGGAAUGAGUAUUUGUGAAUGUUUGUUUAUAUCUAGAUACAGCAUUCACAUAUCUUAAGUGCCACCUUCCAAAAGCAAUGUCAGCCAGAAAAAUAAGUGAUCAAUCUAAUUACAUUUCAAGUCAAAAAGUUUUCCUUUAACCACUUUGCUCCAGAUGCUUAAAAACAUGCGUUGCUCACAUACAUGGCGUCACCUAGGCUCGUCACUGGUAACUUAUCUAAUUUCUAAUAAUUUCUAAUAUAAUUUCUGUGUGUGUGUGUGUGUGUGUGUGUGUGUGUGUGUGUGUGUGUGUGUGUGUGUGUGUGUGUGUGUGUGUGUGUGUGUGUGUGCUGAUGCGGCUGAGAAGGUUGCCUUAUGAUAAUUAUUGACAAAUGAAGGUAAUGGAUGCACAUGUCAUUAAUACUUUUUUAUGUGUGUGUGUAUGUGUGUGUGUUAUGUAUACACACAAACACAAACACACACACACAAACGCACAAAGAGAAGUAAUAGACACGCAUCCUUUACCUUCAUUCAUCAAUAAUUGCCAUAAGACGACCUUCCCAGCUGCAUCACUACACACACACACACACACACACACACACACACACACACACACACACACACACACAGAACACACACACACAGAACACACACACACACUUACACAUCAUGUAGUGUAGUGGUUAGCACGCUCGGCUCACAACCAACAAGGCCCGGGUUCGAAUGCCGGGCACGGUGAAGCAGAUGGACAAGCCUCUUAAUGUGUAGCCCCUGUUCACCUAGCAGCAACUAGGUACAGGAUGUAACCCGAGGUGAUGUGACUUCGCUGCCCCAGUGUGUGGUGUGUCAUUGGCCUCAGUCCUACCCAAAGAUCAGUCACCAUGAGCUCUGAGCUCUUACACACACACACACACACACACACACACACACACACACACACACACACACACACACAGAGAGAGAGAGAGAGAGAGAGAGAGAGAGAGAGAGAGAGAGAGAGAGAGAGAGAGAGAGAGAGAGAGAGAGAGAGAGAGAGAGAGAGAGGGCAAUGAAUGAAACAGGGAGGAAGGGGAACUGUGUGUGAAUGAAAACAUCAUCUACGUGAAACAUUUGAUUGAUUAUAAAGCACAUGUGCAUCAUAUAUAGUCAUGAAUGUGGAGGAACAGCGGAGUGAGUGAUCAACCACAGAAAGGAGGAGAGAGUUGGACAUGCAGAGAGAAUGGAAGGUGAACAAUUUGAGAAGAUAAGCAUGCAAAUACAUAAAUAUAAGGUGGAAUAACAGUGUUUGGUGGGAAGAUGAAAGAGAGAUGCCUGUUUAUGAAGCAAAAUGGUUGUGCAAGAGAGGAAUGAUUGGAAAACCAUUCCCACCAUAGCCAACAGACCUUACACCAUAUUUUUACAAACCACAGCAUCUCUAUUCAUCCAUUCUGUGUGUCUUCUCUUCUCUCUCUCUCUCUCUCUCCACUCUUAAUGCUGUUGUGGGUCUCUGGGCUGGAGUACAUCACAGAAAGAUUGACACCAACUUAUAUAUGAGAGGAUGUUGUCUGUAACUAUGCUAUGGGGACAUUGCAAGUUUGUGGGCUGUAGUCAAUGAAUAAGUGUGUCCUCUAUAGCAUACUUAAAAACCACACUCUCACAUGGAAAUCAAUCUCUCUCUCUCUCUCUCUCUCUCUCUCUCUCUCUCUCUCUCUCUCUCUCUCUCUCUCUCUCUCUCUCUCUCUCUCUCUCUCUCUCUCUCUCUCUCUCUCUCUCUCUCUCUCUCUCUCUCUCUCUCUCUCUCUCUCUCUCUCUCUCUCUCUCUCUCUCUCUCUCUCUCUCUCUCUCUCUCUCUCUCUCUCUCUCUCUCUCUUUCUUUCUUUCUUUUGUUGCAUAUUUUACUCCUUUACAUUCUUCCCUACAGUAUUUUUUCGUCUACUUUAUGACUGGAGUCGUUUUAU